AUCUUAGUCAAUGAUAGGGUUAGGAAUGUCUUAGAGCAAAGUUAGGUGCAGAUUAACCAUUGGGUGUCCUUCACAGUUUCACAAGCUGGUCCUCCAGACAGCCAUUGACAAAUUCCGAGUUAAAUAUGGUUGAUUUUGUAGCUAUUUCAUUUCCUCAACCACUAGAGGCAAAAGGUCUGUCUAAAGAGUAAAAAGUGAUUUCAGUUUGAAUCUAUAGGAAAGCGUGCAGUAUCAAAAGGCUCCUCAGUCCCAAGAUUUCACAGAUCAAGCAAAUGGGAAAGCAAGUUUUAUAUGAAACAUGUAUCCAUUUAUCCAUUUUUGAA